rnacentral:rRNA from 1 species
AUUGAACGCUGGCGGCAUGCCUUACACAUGCAAGUCGAACGGCAGCACGGGAGCAAUCCUGGUGGCGAGUGGCGAACGGGUGAGUAAUAUAUCGGAACGUGCCCAGUCGUGGGGGAUAACGUAGCGAAAGCUACGCUAAUACCGCAUACGAUCUAUGGAUGAAAGCGGGGGGUCGCAAGACCUCGCGCGAUUGGAGCGGCCGAUAUCAGAUUAGGUAGUUGGUGGGGUAAAGGCUCACCAAGCCGACGAUCUGUAGCUGGUCUGAGAGGACGACCAGCCACACUGGGACUGAGACACGGCCCAGACGCCUACGGGAGGCAGCAGUGGGGAAUUUUGGACAAUGGGCGCAAGCCUGAUCCAGCAAUGCCGCGUGCAGGAUGAAGGCCUUCGGGUUGUAAACUGCUUUUGUACGGAGCGAAAAGGCUUCCACUAAUACUGGGGGCUCAUGACGGUACCGUAAGAAUAAGCACCGGCUAACUACGUGCCAGCAGCCGCCGUAACAC